rnacentral:rRNA from 1 species
AUUGAACGCUGGCGGAAUGCUUUACACAUGCAAGUCGAACGGCAGCACGGGGGCAGCCCUGGUGGCGAGUGGCGAACGGGUGAGUAAUACAUCGGAACGUGCCCGGUCGUGGGGGAUAACGUAGCGAAAGUUACGCUAAUACCGCAUACGAUCUGAGGAUGAAAGCGGGGGACCUUCGGGCCUCGCGCGAUCGGAGCGGCCGAUGUCGGAUUAGGUAGUUGGUGGGGUAAAGGCCUACCAAGCCGACGAUCUGUAGCUGGUCUGAGAGGACGACCAGCCACACUGGAACUGAGACACGGCCCAGACUCCUACGGGAGGCAGCAGUGGGGAAUUUUGGACAAUGGGCGCAAGCCUGAUCCAGCCAUUCCGCGUGCAGGACGAAGGCCUUCGGGUUGUAAACUGCUUUUGUACGGAACGAAAAGGCUCUGGCUAAUACCUGGGGCUCAUGACGGUACCGAAAGAAUAAGCACCGGCUAACUACGUG